rnacentral:rRNA from 1 species
ACUGCUCAGUAACACGUGGACAACCUGCCCUUAGGUUGGGUAUAAACCCGGGAAACUGGGUAUAAUACCCGAUAGGUCUCGAUUGCUGGAAUGCAUCGAGAUUUAAAGCUCCGGCGCCUAAGGAUGGGUCUGCGGCCUAUCAGGUAGUAGUGGGUGUAGCGUACCUACUAGCCUACGACGGGUACGGGUUGUGAGAGCAAGAGCCCGGAGAUGGAUUCUGAGACACGAAUCCAGGCCCUACGGGGUGCAGCAGGCGCGAAAACUUUACAAUGCUGGCAACAGCGAUAAGGGAACCUCGAGUGCCAGGUUACAAAUCUGGCUGUCGAGAUGCCUAAAAAGCAUUUCAUAGCAAGGGCCGGGCAAGACCGGUGCCAGCCGCCGCGGUAACACCGGCGGCUCGAGUGGUAACCGUUAUUAUUGGGUCUAAAGGGUCUGUAGCCGGCCGGAUAAGUCUCUUGAGAAAUCUGGCAGCUUAACUGUCAGGCUUUCAGGAGAUACUGUCUGGCUCGAGGCCGGGAGAGGUGAGAGGUACUUCAGGGGUAGGGGUGAAAUCUUGUAAUCCUUGAAGGACCACCAGUGGCGAAGGCGUCUCACCAGAACGGACCUGACGGCAAGGGACGAAAGCUAGGGGCACGAACCGGAUUAGAUACCCGGGUAGUCCUAGCCGUAAACGAUACUCGCUAGGUGUCGGCCACGGUGCGACCGUUGUCGGUGCCGUAGGGAAGCCGUGAAGCGAGCCACCUGGGAAGUACGGCCGCAAGGCUGAAACUUAAAGGAAUUGGCGGGGGAGCACCACAACGGGUGGAGCUUGCGGUUUAAUUGGAUUCAACGCCGGG